UACGUAGGGUGCAAGCGUUGUCCGGAAUUAUUGGGCGUAAAGAGCUCGUAGGCGGUCUGUUGCGUCGGCUGUGAAAACCCGGGGCUCAACUCCGGGCCUGCAGCCGAUACGGGCAGACUAGAGUUCGGCAGGGGAGACUGGAAUUCCUGGUGUAGCGGUGAAAUGCGCAGAUAUCAGGAGGAACACCGGUGGCGAAGGCGGCCCCCUGGACCGGUACUGACGCUGAGGCGCGAAAGCGUGGGUAGCAAACGGG
rnacentral:rRNA from 1 species